GUGCUUGCUUUGGCAACACACAUACUAAAAUUGGAACUAUCCAAAGAUUAGCGUGUAUCCUGUGGAAAAAUGACCGGCAAAUCAUGAAGCAGUCGAUGGUAGU
rnacentral:snRNA from 14 species